UACAGAGGGGGCAAGCGUUAUCCGGAAUUAUUGGGCGUAAAGCGUCCGUAGGUGGCUAGUCAAGUCUGCGGUCAAAGACUGGGGCUUAACCCUGGAAAGGCCGUGGAAACUGACGAGCUAGAGUGCAGUAGGGGUAGAGGGAAUUCCCGGUGUAGCGGUGAAAUGCGUAGAGCUCGGGAAGAACAUCGGUGGCGAAAGCGCUCUACUGGACUGCAACUGACACUCAGGGACGAAAGCUAGGGGAGCGAAUGGG
rnacentral:rRNA from 1 species